rnacentral:lncRNA from 1 species
AAUUUGUCUGUUGGGAGAUAAAAUAUUUAUAUAACUUUCCUGUUAUGUUCAAUCAUCACAGUACUACAGGUUUUUAUUCUUCUUUUUUUUUUUUGUCCUGGCUCUUCUUCAGGAACAUCAUCAUAUCAGGAACAGAAUGAUUCAAUCUGGCUUCAAGGAAAGGAAUUCAGCACUUUUCUCAAGAAAAUGGUGAUUGACAAAAUUAUCCUAAAGGUAGAGAAAUCCUGGAUUCCACUUCAUGUUUGUCUCAUCUGCCAGUGUGGGGAAGAAUCAAGAAAAGAAUUCAAGAGACAAUUUUGACACACACACGUAUCUCUAUGGCAACAUGAAACCUCCCAUAGAUAUGCCUGGAGCCGAAGCAAGGGUUUGGAUUGGGUUUGGGUCAACUCUGAGUCAAGAAGAUAUUAGGUCAUAUGGGAUUCCUGAUUCUUAUUUUAAAAUGUAAUCAAGAC